AAACCCUAUAUUGAAUUAAAAACCCAAUCACCAAUUCUCAAGCAAUAAAGCAAAAUCGUUCAAUCAAAAUAUUUUGAUUUUCAUAAGAACUUCCGUAGAUUGCAGUAUGAGGUUACAUACCACAUGGCUCUUGAUAGCGUUGAAUUUUUUAAAGGAAUAUGGAGUUGAAGCUCGAUUUAUCCAGAACCGAGUAUGUGGAUUAUUUGGUUUAAUAUGUUUUGAGAAUAAUAUACCUGUGACUUAUGCUAGCGAUAAUAUUAAUAAAAUUAUUAUAGACUACUAA